AUAACAACUUUCAACAACGGAUCUCUUGGCUCUCGCAUCGAUGAAGAAYGCAGCGAAAUGCGAUAAGUAAUGUGAAUUGCAGAAUUCAGUGAAUCAUCGAAUCUUUGAACGCACCUUGCGCUCCUUGGUAUUCCGAGGAGCAUGCCUGUUUGAGUGUCAUGAA
rnacentral:rRNA from 1 species